GACGAACGCUGGCGGCGUGCCUAAUACAUGCAAGUUGAGCGCUGAAGGUUGGUACUUGUACCAACUGGAUGAGCAGCGAACGGGUGAGUAACGCGUGGGGAAUCUGCCUUUUAGCGGGGGACAACAUUUGGAAACGAAUGCUAAUACCGCAUAAAAACUUUAAACACAAGUUUUAAGUUUGAAAGAUGCAAUUGCAUCACUCAAAGAUGAUCCCGCGUUGUAUUAGCUAGUUGGUGAGGUAAAGGCUCACCAAGGCGAUGAUACAUAGCCGACCUGAGAGGGUGAUCGGCCACAUUGGGACUGAGACACGGCCCAAACUCCUACGGGAGGCAGCAGUAGGGAAUCUUCGGCAAUGGACGAAAGUCUGACCGGGCAAAGCCGCGUGAGUGAAGAAGGGUUUCGGAUCGUAAAACUCUGUUGGUAGAGAAGAACGUUGGUGAGAGUGGAAAGCUCAUCAAGUGACGGUAACUACACAGAAAGGGACGGCUGACUACGUG
rnacentral:rRNA from 1 species